CAAUUCUUGCAAAACCUUCCCAAAUUCCAUAUCGAAUGAAAGAAUGUCAUACAGAUCAAGCUCCUGACCAAGCACAAGCUUAUAAAAAGCUGUUGAAAGUGGUAGGUCCAAGAGGCGUCCAUCUUGAAGAGCUUUGGCCAUUACCCGUCCAACCAACCGGAAAUACUCAACAACCUUAUAAAACUGGCUACCCUCAGAAGCAUCAUUAUUAGGAGGAAAAGGACAAGGAAACAGACCAAGCAGUGCUUGGACAACAUCUGCGUCUCCCGGAGACCCAGAACCAUUAUUAAAUUUCCCAUUUUUGUUACAAUCUUCAUCAAUUUCCAUAGUUGGUUUCUCAGAUGAUGAAUUUGACCUCCACAUUCCGAGUGCAACUUUCUGUAAAUCAUGACUCAAAAGUGUGUAAAACUCCAAGGUAGGACCUAACCCUGUACCAACUUCACCAAAAUAUUCUACUUCAAGUACAGCCUUCUGACUAGAAUACAUCUCCAUUACUUUUGCAGCAGAAUCCAAAAUACGGUUGCGAGAAACGCGAACUUUCUGACGUUGUAAUCUUCCAACCCUCACCUCCCUUUCAUUUGCUGAUCUCUUUCAUUUAACGAUCCAUGACCAUCAGCACCCUGUUGCUGUUGAAGACGAUAUAAUGCACGAGACAAUCCAAAAGCAGUUGAAUAGAAGUACUGUCGACGGGUCUCAAAAGGGAACAAGAAUGGGCAUGCUUUUGUCAACUGGUAGCACCACGAAGGAAGACUCCCACUGCAUAAUGCAAGGGCAUCCUGAAUUUGACGAGCUAAUUUAGGGGUGAGCUUGCUGUUAAUAAAUUCUUCAGCGAAAACCCUACCACCAGUAGCAUUCAGCCCAUCCAAACUUGAGAUUUUCCCUUCAGCAAAAUUGUCCGAAACCAACUGGGCUCUCAGACGUGGUGCCAGCUGGUUCAAACCCUCUAGCACACGAAGCAACGCCAAUAUAUUGUAAGUAGGAUUAGAUUUCUCCAAAUCACAAGGAAGCUCUCCUUGCACAAUACUAUCUAAAAGUGACAUCUGCUGCAACUUGCCGUCAGAGUUCAAAUUACAAGAACCAUUUUUUGCAGACCUUGAUGUUGUGGUAGAACUAGAACCCCCAAUAGAAACCCUGUCAGUUUGGCCAUCUGCCCUCUGGUAUGUAAUUGUAUAUAUAUCACUCCAAAGCCUGC
rnacentral:misc_RNA from 1 species